AAAGGUUGACCUCGGAUCAGGUAGGAAU
rnacentral:rRNA from 1 species